ensembl:antisense Gm13324 predicted gene 13324
AGAGGAUAUAUCAUCACAUCAAGUGUGAAGACAGAUGUUUGGCCACCCUACCCGUGAGAAGUGUGGGGUGGGGAGCACAGGGCCAUAGCUGCCAUUUCUGUGCCGAAAUAAACCUGCCACAUAAAAGGAAAAGGGUUCCUGAGCUUGAUUAAGACCUAAAAGUAGAGAUUUUUCCUGUUCCGUGCAAUUAUGAGGAGUUUCUCAGCAACACUCAGGAAUACCAAUGAGCAGCUCUAUGGUAACCAAGGAGACAAAUCCACCAGCAAAAUCUUAACCAGGAAUCUUCCAGGACCAGACUCCCUCCCACAACUAAUCUCCACCAGAAAGUGCCAGAGAACAGCAUGACCUGACUCUUAACUCAGAUGACUCUACAUGGGAGUCUGACGCCCCCAAACUCCUCAUGAACCUGAGAAAGUUCAGACUUUCUAGAUGCUUCUUAGAGAGAAGAAUGAUCAGUCACUGUGAUGCCGACCCUAGCUGGGAGCUACAGCGUUGCCAGGAAACAUCCAGCUCGUUGAAAUUAUUGCCUUCCCAGCAGAGUAUAUUUUACAUAAAAUAUGCCCCAAAUA